rnacentral:rRNA from 1 species
AACGAACGCUGGCGGCAGGCCUAACACAUGCAAGUCGAGCGCGCCCUUCGGGGUGAGCGGCGGACGGGUGAGUAACGCGUGGGAACGUGCCCUUUUCUACGGAAUAGCCUCGGGUAACUGAGAGUAAUACCGUAUACGCCCUCUCGGGGAAAGAUUUAUCGGAAAAGGAUCGGCCCGCGUUGGAUUAGGUAGUUGGUGGGGUAAUGGCCUCCCAAGCCGACGAUCCAUAGCUGGUUUGCGAGGAUGAUCAGCCACACUGGGACUGAGACACGGCCCAGACUCCUACGGGAGGCAGCAGUGGGGAAUCUUAGACAAUGGGGGCAACCCUGAUCUAGCCAUGCCGCGUGAGUGAUGAAGGCCGUAGGGUUGUAAAGCUCUUUCAGCUGGGAAGAUAAUGACGGUACCAGCAGAAGAAGCCCCGGCUAACUCCGUG